GACGAACGCUGGCGGCGUGCCUAACACAUGCAAGUCGAACGGGACCAGGGGCAACUCUGGUUCAGUGGCGGACGGGUGCGUAACACGUGAGGAACAUGACUUUCGGCGGGGGGAUAGCCGGCCCAACGGCCGGGUAAUACCGCGUACGACCUGUUGGGGACAUCCCCGAUUGGUGAAAGCAGCAAUGCGCCGAAAGAGUGCCUCGCGGCCUAUCAGCUAGUUGGUGGGGUAAUGGCUCACCAAGGCGACGACGGUAGCUGGUCUGAGAGGAUGGCCAGCCACAUUGGGACUGAGACACGGCCCAGACUCCUACGGGAGGCAGCAGUGGGGAAUAUUGCGCAAUGGGCGAAAGCCUGACGCAGCGACGCCGCGUGUGGGAUGACGGCC
rnacentral:rRNA from 1 species